rnacentral:lncRNA from 1 species
AUGAACUAUUACCUCCUUACUUACAGCUGGGCUUACCCUGCAUCUCCUCCCUUCUCCCUGUUUCCUCUGGGAGUUUCCAGGUCCGUGGUGAAGGCAGGACACCCCUGGCUGUCCCUGAGCUGUCCCAUCCCCUCUCACCACUCCGCACCAAACCCACCGCACAAAAACCCAAAAGAGCCCGACCCGAAGGUAACGGGGACAGAGGAAUUCCAGCCCUACCUUCGCUGUCCCGGAGGCUGUCCCGGUGUGUCUGCACAGGUCCCCAAGGCUGGUCCCUCCCUCGCUGAGCGAAGCAAAAGCGCAAGUGCCGGGGAGCGGCCGCGCCCCGGGGAGCGGGGUGUCCCUGCCGGGGUCGCCCUUCCCUUCCCGUUCUGUGGCUUUCAAGGUGCUUGUGAGGGUGCUGGUGGUCUCAGGGAGUUUUGGUCGCUAUCGCGUUCUUGGGAUGUUUUGGGAGCUGUCGCGUUCUCGGGGUGUUCUGGUCUCUGUCGCAGUUUCGGGGUGUUCUGGUCUCCGCCUUGGUCUCGGGGUGUUCUGGUCUCUGUCACAUCCUCGGGGUGUUCUGGUCUCUGUUGGGGUGUUCUGGUCCCUGUUGCUGUCUCGGGGUGUUCCGGUCUCUGUCGCGUUCUCGGGGUGUUCUGGUUUCUGUCGCGAUCUCAGGGUGUUCUGGUCCCUGUCACAGUUUCAGGGUGUUCUGGUCCCUGUCGCUGUCUCGGUGUGCUCUGGUCCCUGUCACAGUCUCAGGGUGCUCUGAUCGCUGUCGCAGUCUCCGCCUGUCACAUCCUCGGGGUGUUCUGGUCUCUGUUGGGGUGUUCUGGUCCCUGUUGCUGUCUCGGGGUGUUCCGGUCUCUGUCGCGUUCUCGGGGUGUUCUGGUUUCUGUCGCGAUCUCAGGGUGUUCUGGUCCCUGUCACAGUUUCAGGGUGUUCUGGUCCCUGUCGCUGUCUCGGUGUGCUCUGGUCCCUGUCACAGUCUCAGGGUGCUCUGAUCUCUGUCGCAGUCUCGGGGUGCUCUGGUCUCUGUCACAGUUUCAGGGUGCUCUGGUCCCUGUCGCAGUUUCGGGGUGCUCUGGUCUCUGUCGCAGUCUCGGUGUGUUCUGGUCUCUGUCGCAGUCUCGGGGUGCUCUGGUCGCUGUCGCAGUCUCGGGGUGCUCUGGUCCCUGUCGCAGUCUCGGUGUGCUCUGA